AUUAUUCUCGCUUGCUGGGGUCAUGGUGUUUUGGCCUCUCCUGGCCUGGACUCUCAAAAACUCAUCAUCCUUCAUAGGUCUGAAGGCUUCUACAUUCCCACCAGCAGGUGGACCAUAUGAACUCAAAACUAGUUGUGGCAGAGGGACCCUGAAGAGAUCUACCCCUGGUGAAUGCCCCCAGGAGUGGGCUGUUCUCACACCUGGUGCCCAGCCUGUGCCCUCGCAGGUCUUGGUGCCUCCACUCAGCUCAAUUCCAGUUUUCUGGCCAUGCCCCGCUGUGUCCCUUUCUCUCUCCUUAGUGCCUAGCUGUGCAAUGUUUGCCUCUCCUUAACAUGUCCUCAGCUGACCCCAUAUCCUCAGUCCUUGCAACCCUGUUCCUCAGUGACACCUGUGUAUUCUCUCCAGUGGAGACACAGGUGGGACACCCCCAAGCUCAUGGUACAUGCCUGUCAUCAGUACCCCUGGACUGUCAUGGUGGGUCAGUCUGCCCUAGGCUGGACUGACCAACCUGUUCAUUCCCCCACAGGAUUGCCCUUUACAGUUCAUGAGUUCCCCCAACUGGAGUGCAGACAAGAGCACUGAUUGAUGGACCAGGUAGACUUGAAACCAGGAAUAGCACAAAAGUUAUCAAAGAGGCUCAGCCAUGGAGAUUGCAAGCUGGGGAUGGAAGUAUCCCUGGAAUUGAGCUGUUCUCACACCUGGUACCUGAGUUAUACCCCUGGUGUCUGGGUACCAAGGUCACUAGCCUUGCCACUUUUCUAUGUUCCUGAUCCCCUACUAAACAGUCCACCUUUUCGCCUACUUCCCCUGACUCCUGUACCCUGUCCCCUCUUUCUGCCUAGUUUGAAGACACUGGUCAUCCCAUAACAUGUCCUGGGCUAAUACAUAUCCUCAAAUCGUUCUUGAAAAUCUGUUCCUCUUCCCUCCUCCCCCUCCCCCUCCCCCCCCCCCCGCUCUUUCCACGGUCUCCCUCUGAUGCCGAGCCGAAGCUGGACGGUACUGCUGCCAUCUCGGCUCACUGCAACCUCCCUGCCUGAUUCUCUUGCCUCAGCCUGCCGAGUGCCUGCGAUUGCAGGCGCGUGCCGCCACGCCUGACUGGUUUUCGUAUUUUUUUUGGUGGAGACGGGGUUUCGCUGUGUUGGCCGGGCUGGUCUCCAGCUCCUAACCACGAGUGAUCCGCCAGCCUCGGCCUCCCGAGGUGCCGGGAUUGCAGACGGAGUCUCGUUCAUUCAGUGCUCAAUGGUGUCCAGGCUGGAGUGCAGUGGCGUGAUCUCGGCUCGCUACAACCUCCACCUCCCAGCAACCCGCCUUGGCCUCCCAAAGUGCCGAGAUUGCAGCCUCUGCCCGGCGGCCACCCCGUCUGGGAAGUGAGGAGCGUCUCCGCCUGGCCGCCCAUCAUCUGGGAUGUGAGGAGCCCCUCUGCCUGGCUGCCCAGUCUGGAAAGUGAGGAGCGUCUCUGCCCGGCCGCCAUCCCAUCUAGGAAGUGAGGAGCGCCUCUUCCCGGCCGCCAUCACAUCUGGGAAGUGAGGAGCGUCUCUGCCCGGCCGCCCAUCGUCUGAGAUGUGGGGAGCAUCUCUGCCCUGCCGCCCCGUCCGGGAUGUGAGGAGCGUCUCUGCCCGGCCGCCCCGUCUGAGAAGUGAGGAGACCCUCUGCCUGGCAACUGCCCCGUCUGAGAAGUGAGGAGCCCCUCCGCCCGGCAGCCGCCCCGUCUGAGAAGUGAGGAGCCCCUCCGCCCAGCAGCCACCCCGUCUGGGAAGUGAGGAGCAUCUCCGCCCGGCAGCCGCCCCGUCUGAGAAGUGAGGAGCCUCUCCGCCCAGCAGCCACCUCGUCCGGGAGGGAGGUGGGGGGGUCAGCCCCCCGCCCGGCCAGCCGCCCCGUCCGGGAGGGAGGUGGGGGGAUCAGUCCCCCACCCGGCCAGCCGCCCUGUCCGGGAGAUGAGGGGCGCCUCUGCCCGGCCGCCCCUACUGGGAAGUGAGGAGCCCUUCUGCCCGGCCAGCCGCUCCGUCCGGGAGGGAGGUGGGGGGGUCAGCCCCCCGCCCGGCCAGCCGCCCUGUCCGGAAGGGAGGUGGGGGGGUCAGCCCCCCGCGCGGCCAGCCGACCCGUCCGGGAGGGAGGUGGGGGGGUCAGCCCCCUGCCCGGCCAGCCGCCCCGUCCGGGAGGUGCGGGGCGCCUCUGCCCGGCCGCCCCUACUGGGAAGUGAGGAGCCCCUCUGCCCGGCCAGCCGCCCCAUCUGGGAGGGAGGUGGGGGGGUCAGCCCCCCGCCCUGCCAGCCGCCCUGUCCGGGAGGGAGGGGCGCCUCUGCCCGGCCGCCCCUACUGGGAAAUGAGGAGCCCCUCUGCCCGGCCACCACCCCAUCUGGGAGGUGUACCCAACAGCUCGUUGAGAACGGGCCAUGAUGACAAUGGCGGUUUUGUGGAAUAGAAAGGGGGGAAAGAUGGGGAAAAGAUUGAGAAAUCGGAUGGUUGCCGUGUCUGUGUAGAAAGAGGUAGACGUGGGAGACUUUUCAUUUUGUUCUGUACUAAGAAAAAUUCUUCUGCCUUGGGAUCCUGUUGAUCUGUGACCUUACCCCCAACCCUGUGCUCUCUGAAACAUGUGCUGUAUCCACUCAGGGUUGAAUGGAUUAAGGGCGGUGCAAGAUGUGCUUUGUUAAACAGAUGCUUGAAGGCAGCAUGCUCCUUAAGAGUCAUCACCACUCCCUAAUCUCAAGUACCCAGGGACACAAACACUGCGGAAGGCCGCAGGGUCCUCUGCCUAGGAAAACCAGAGACCUUUGUUCACUUGUUUAUCUGCUGACCUUCCCUCCCCUAUUGUCCUGUGACCCUGCCAAAUCCCCCUCUACGAGAAACACCCAAGAAUGAUC
rnacentral:lncRNA from 1 species